ensembl:lncRNA
CCCGUAUGCCUCCUGCCGGGAAUAAAGGAGGAGCGUGGGUGGUUGGGGGGCUGAGCAAAGCACCCUGGCUCCUGUGCCGUAUCAGGCAGGUGGUCCCAAACCGGGAUUGGGAAGGCGAAGGUCUGGGAUGCUGUUCUCUCUGUUCCACAGCAUUAUUUGUGCCACAGAUAGGUGCUUUGAGUGCAGUAGAAGACAGAUAGGAAGCAAGCUCUGCUGGACUGGGAAGCUCGGUGAUGCUGGUUGUUGCUGAAAGGUGGACCGAGAGCCAGGAUGCGCAGCGUUGGUAGAUAUGCAAAGCCUCUGGCCGUGUCCUGCCGGUGCCCCCAGAGCCCCAUGGCACAGAGCUGGCCCUGCAAAAGGGCUCCCACCGAUGGUUUUAUGCACACGUCGUUGGAAGCCUCAGGCUGAAAAUGUUAAUUUCUAUUGGUGCUUGCUGGAACAGAGCGUAAUUAGUAGUCACGGCCCUGCAAGGUGAUUUGUGGAGGAGUCAUCCUUACGCAAAAAACCUUGGCCUGGCUGUAGCAAGGCCUUCUUCGGAAUUCAACCUCACCCAAUUAACAUACUCUGCCAAAUAUAUCAUUAAUGAGCAGAGCAGACCGCACCGGCACUUUCUUUUAGAUGCACUGACCGUUCCCUUCCUGCACACCCACUGCACCUGGUGGCCUCUGCCUUGUUCCCUAAUGACUGGAGCUCCCCGUGCCCAUCCCACGCUGCCAGCAGGAUCUGGGAGCUGCAGAGAAGGCCCCUUGAAGGAGGUGGGAGGGCAGGAGAAUCGGCAGCAAUUCCCCAGCAGCAGCUGUGCACCACUGGCACGGGACGUGAGAGGCUGCUCCCGGCUCGCUGAAGCGGUUCAGUGAUGCAGCGAAUGUGCAUGACACCUGCUUGGUUUUUCUGAGUGCUCUGACCUCUGUCUGACCACGUCCCCAGCAUGCAUGCAGCUGGACGGGGAGGCUGGGCCGGGGGACCGCAUUUUCCUUCUUGCCAAGGAAGCGGCUUGAAGGUGGAUUUUGUUUUCAGGUGUCAGCUCCCGCCGCCCAGGGACAUAGCAGACAGCAAUUUGCCUGGCUGAGGUAUUGCUCAGUAAAAGCUGUGUAGCAGUCAGCUGCAGCAGCAUUCACUAAAUGAGCACCAGAAGAAUGCAACGAGGAUUUUGCAGGCCAAAAGCAGGAGUAAUUGCAGAACUCGCAUGCCUGGGUAAGCCUCCAUCAGCAGCAAUUGCCCUUCCUUCCCGCCCAGCAAGGCUUUCCAACAAAACGAGGGACGCCAGCUAAUAAGGCUCUCCUGGGCUAAAAGACUUUAAUAACUUUUACUAAUUUCAGUACCUUUUCAUGCAACGUGUAAUUAAAUUAUGAGGCUCCUUGCCAUAGGAUGUUAUGGAAGACUGAGUUAUAAAUGGAUUCUGAAAAGGAUUAGGCAAAUUCAUUUUGGCUAUGAAACACGACCGUUCGGGUACAACCUCCAGCUCAAAAAGUCCCCAAACCUCCAAUUGCAGGAAGUCUGUCCUGGCACCAGGAAGAUAACGCAGCAGAAAGCAGAGUGGAAAAACCAAAACUGUGGAAACUGGCCCAAACACUUGCUGUGACGUAGCAGUCAGAUGUCUGCAAGCUUAUCCAACUUAAAAUGAGUUUUAAUGCACAAAUCAAGAGGAUCACCUUUUUUUUUUCCCCUUCCAAAUUUGAAUUUAUAGCAUGCUAUCAGUCACUAGCCUCAAGCCAUAACCAAGAUUAAUACCAGCUGAUGUGUGCAUGCCACUACUAUGUUGAUAGUGAAAUAAAACUUUCCCUGGUUUAUUUGCCUCUCCCGCAAGGAAUUCAGUCUUUCAGACCUCCCUCUCAGCCAAGACCAACCACUUUUAAUAACAUCUAUUUAUGUUUGCUGGUCAUGAGGCAUCUAAAUAGUGUUUCAUACAAAAACCUUUAUGGAAGAACAGAAAUGUUGCAUGGUAUUUAUAUUUCUGUAAAGGUAACGCUGGCAUGCAGACAGGUUGUGGCUCAGUAUUAUAUGUUAACAGAUCAUCCAUGAAACGUUCACCGUAACAAAAGCAAUGUUCAAUAAUAAGGAAUAUUAGUUUUAAGUGGGAUUUGGUUUCAUUUUCAAUGUAGUACUUUGAAUUUCAGUAAACUUUUGUGGUUUCCCUCGAAUGCAAGCAAACACCUUGUUGUGUUGAACUGCCUUCUUUUCCUCAACAAACCCCACGUUCAGCCCUGAUGCAGGCAGAGGAUUCGCCAGAUUAUUUUGCAUUAGAGGAGUGCUAUCUUUAGUGAGAGAAAUUAAAACAAAGGGGCUGCAGGCCAGAGUGCUAGAGCCUGGAGAAGUCGUAGAUUAAGCUAUAUAUUAAUUACUGGAUUCCCUGCUGGGAGCUAUAAGCAGUUAAUUCUUUAAUUUUAUGCUGUGUUUUUAAGGUAGUUUGAGGUUCUCUACAACCUCACACAUCAAGAGGUUUUGAACGUCGACAUUGAAACAGGCUGUUAGGAGCUGUUAUGAGUGUGUUGGAAAUGAUCUCUGGCAGCCUAUGGAGGCAGACCAACAGGAAGCGUGCAAAGCAGCUUUUGGGGAUGGUUAGGUCAGCUGCUUUAUGCAAAGGAUUCGGGGAAGUCAGACAGCUGUUGGCUCCUAGGUGGUCCCACUGGGCAAAAGCAGUAUGUGUUGCCCGACUCCCAUGAAAGACGAGGGAAAGAAAGGAGUUAAAAUCCUUGAAGACAGCUCCUAGGCCAUCCCAGGGCUGGAAAAGCUUGCUCGUUCUGGCUGGAAUUGGCUCAGCUCUGGUAACACAACUUGGUAGAGGCUUAGUCCUAGGCCUGACUACAGACAUGACACAGGCUUCACAAUGCCCUCUAGGGCAUCUUUCUCUGUGUGCUAGAUGGACUGUGGGCACAGGCCCUUCUGCCUGAAAAGUUAUGUGCAAUAGCAGGAUGGGCUGAAAAUUG